rnacentral:rRNA from 1 species
GAUCAUGGCUCAGGAUGAACACUAGCUACAGGCUUAACACAUGCAAGUCGAGGGGCAGCAUGAUUGAAGCUUGCUUCAAUUGAUGGCGACCGGCGCACGGGUGAGUAACACGUAUCCAACCUUCCGUACACUCAGGGAUAGCCUUUCGAAAGAAAGAUUAAUACCUGAUGGUAUCUUAAGACACACAUAGUAAUAGAUAAGUAUUUAGUCGGUGUACGAGUGGGAUGUCCG